rnacentral:rRNA from 1 species
UGGGGAAUAUUGGGCAAUGGGCGAAAGCCUUACCCAGCAACGCCGCGUGAGGGAAGAAGGUUUUCGGAUUGUAAACCUCUGUCCUGGGGGACGAAGGAAGUGACGGUACCCCGGGAAGAAGCCCCGGCUAACUACGUGCCAGCAGCCGCGGUAAUACGUAGGGGGCAAGCGUUGUCCGGAUUUAUUGGGCGUAAAGAGCGUGUAGGCGGCCACACAGAUCAGCUGUGAAAACUCGAGGCUCAACCUCGAGACGUCGGUUGAAACCGUAUGGCUAGAGUCCGGAAGAGGAGAGUGGAAUUCCCGGUGUAGCGGUGAAAUGCGCAGAUAUCGGGAAGAACACCCGUGGCGAAGGCGGCUCUCUGGGACGGUACUGACGCUGAGACGCGAAAGCGUGGGGAGCGAACAGGAUUAGAUACC